rnacentral:ncRNA from 1 species
GUGAUGGGGAUAGAUCAUUGCAAUUAUUGAUCUUCAACGAGGAAUUCUAGUAAGCGCAAGUCAUCAGCUCGCGUUGACUACGUCCCUGCCCUUUGUACACACCGCCCGUCGCUCCUACCGAUUGAAUGAUCCGGUGAAGUGUUCGGAUUGCAGCGAUGCUGACGGUUCGCCGCCGGCGACGCUGUGAGAAGUUCAUUAAACCUUAUCAUUUAGAGGAAGGAGAAGUCGUAACAAGGUUUCCGUAGGUGAACCUGCGGAAGGAUCAUUG